rnacentral:rRNA from 1 species
CCAGCAAUUUGGGAGAAUGAAUAGUUUCGGCUAAUUAUACUUGGCUGUUUAAUUUAUUAAAUAUAAUUUUUUAUACAUAAUAGGUUAUUCAUUUUAGCCCUAUUAGUUCACGAGAGUAAACUAGGGGUUAAUUAAUUUGUCUAUUCUGAAUGAUUAGGGGAAUAAUAGUAAGGUAUACUUUAUUUCCACGGACAAGUGUAAGAUCGAUUUUAUCGAAUAAAGUUCUAGAUAUGAUAUUGAUUAUGACAAUUUCUGUCUAUAUGUCUUGACCAAAAUACGUGCCAGCAGUCGCGGCAAUACGUAGAAGACUAGUGUUAUUCAUCUUUAAUAGGUUUAAAGGGUACCUAGACGGUAUAAUUAGUCUUAAAUAGGAUACGGUUAUACUAGAGUUAUAUAUGAGGAGGUGAGUAUUUAUGGAGUAGAGUUGAAAUUCUGUCAUACCAUAACGACUGGUAACGGCGAAAGCAACCUUUUAUCUAAUAACUGACGUUGAGGGACGAAGGCUCGGGUAACGAACAGGAUUAGAUACCCUAGUAGUCCAAGCAGAGAAUUAUGAAUGCCAUAGAUUAGAUAUAUUUAGUCUAUAAAUGAAAGUGUAAGCAUUUCACCUCAAGAGUAAUGUGGCAACGCAGGAACUGAAAUCAUUAGACCGUUUCUGAAACCAGUAGUGAAGUAUGUUAUUUAAUUCGUAGUUACGCGAAAAACCUUACCACAAUUUGAAUAUUAUUUUAUCCAAACAUUAUUUAUAAUGUUUAGUAAUAUAUUACAAGCGUUGCACGGCUGUCUGCAGUUAAUGUCGUGAGAUAUUGGUUAAUUCCAUUAAAUUAACGGAAACCCUUGCUUUAUUUGUAUUUUUAUGAAAUAAAGCAGCACACCUUCAUAACGGUUAUGUUAAUAGGGACCAAGACAAGUC